rnacentral:lncRNA from 1 species
CUUUGUGUUUUGGUUUUUUUAAACUUUGAGGCUGGGUCUCGCAGUGUAGCCCUGGGUGGCUUAAAAUUUUCUAUGUGAUGUCACAGAGAUCUGCUUGCUUCUGCCUCUCGAAUGCUGGGAUAGAAGACACAUACCGUCAUGACUGACCACAUUCACAUUUUAUCAGUGCUGCUUUCUGUCCUUUUGAGGUUUUGUCUAGAAAGCACACUAUGUUUAUUUUGCUCCUUCAGGGUAGGAAGGGGUCCGGUGUUAAAUUCUAAUCUUGGUUACCCCUGGCUAGGUGUUUCCAGAAGGUGUUCCAAGUUUGCCGUCCGUGGAGGCAAGACAUUUACUAAUCCUGCGUCUCUCAAAUUAGAUGCCGAUGGGAAACUGAGUGUGAAGUUUGGGGUCCUCUUCCAAGACGACAGAUGUGCCAAUCUCUUUGAAGCGUUGGUGGGAACUCUGAAAGCCGCAAAACGAAGGAAGAUUGUUACGUACGCAGGAGAGCUGCUUUUGCAAGGUGUUCAUGAUGAUGUUGACAUUGUAUUGCUGCAAGAUUAAUGUGGUUUGCAGAUCUGGGGGUAUCUGGUAAACUGGAAUAAUUAAGUUAAAGGACAAACAUGAAGUUCCUUAUGUAUUUUUAUAGACCUUUGUAAACAAAAGGGGACUUGUUGAGAAGUCCUGUUUUUAUACCUUGGAGCAAAACAUUACAAUGUAAAAAUAAACAAAACCUGUUAUUUUUUUUUUCUUAAGAAGGUAAUCGGGAGACGUAGGCAAUAAAAUGUUUUCAGAGGUGCGAAAAAGCUUUUGUUUUCUUAAACCAUUCUUAGUCUCUGCCACACUUGACACUCCGUCAAAGUGAGAAGCGAACUAAAGACCAACUGCGGUGGAAAAUAUUAUGUUUAUGUAAUAAAAAAAAAUCAUGUAACUGCA